rnacentral:rRNA from 1 species
GCUCAGGAUGAACGCUAGCGGCAGGCUUACACAUGCAAGUCGAGGGGUAACGAUCCGUCCUAGACGGAGGCGACGACCGGCGCACGGGUGAGUAUAACGUAUGCAACCUUCCCUUAAUUGGAGGAUAGCCCGGAGAAAUUCGGAUUAAUACUCCAUAAUAUCAUAGAAUCGCAUGUUUUUAUGAUUAAAACUUCGGUGGUUAAGGAUGGGCAUAUGCCCCAUUAGUUAGUUGGUGAGGUAAACGGCUCACCAAGGCAACGAUGGGUAGGGGGCCUGAGAGGGUAAUCCCCCACACUGGUACUGAGACACGGACCAGACUCCUACGGGAGGCAGCAGUGAGGGAUAUUGGUCAAUGGGCGAAAGCCUGAACCAGCCAUGCCGCGUGCAGGAUGACUGUCCUAUGGAUUGUAAACUGCUUUUCUGCAAGAAGAAACCAUUGAUCGUGAUCAGUGCUGACGGUAUUGCAGGAAUAAGCAUCGGCUAACUCCGUGCCAGCAGCCGCGGUAAUACGGAGGAUGCAAGCGUUAUCCGGAUUCAUUGGGUUUAAAGGGUGCGCAGGUGGAAUAUUAAGUCAGAGGUGAAAGCCUGCAGCUUAACUGUAGAAUUGCCUUUGAUACUGAUAUUCUUGAGUUUAGUUGAGGAGGGCGGAAUGAGUAAUGUAGCGGUGAAAUGCAUAGAUAUUACUCAGAACACCAAUUGCGAAGGCAGCUCUCUAAACUAUAACUGACACUGAGGCACGAAAGCGUGGGGAGCGAACAGGAUUAGAUACCCUGGUAGUCCACGCUGUAAACUAUGAUCACUCGUUGUUGGCGAUACACAGUCAGCGACUGAGCGAAAGCGUUAAGUGAUCCACCUGGGGAGUACGAUCGCAAGGUUGAAACUCAAAGGAAUUGACGGGGGCCCGCACAAGCGGAGGAACAUGUGGUUUAAUUCGAUGAUACGCGAGGAACCUUACCUGGGCUUAAAUGCAGAACGAUUUUCCGGGAUACUGGAUUUCCCUUCGGGGCGGACUGCAAGGUGCUGCAUGGUUGUCGUCAGCUCGUGCCGUGAGGUAUCGGGUUAAGUCCCAUAACGAGCGCAACCCCUAUUGUUAGUUGCCAGCGGAUAAUGCCGGGGACUCUAACAAAACUGCCCGUGUAAGCGGGAGGAAGGUGGGGAUGACGUCAAAUCAGCACGGCCCUUACGUCCAGGGCCACACACGUGUUACAAUGGCAGGUACAAAGGGCAGCUACCAGGCGACUGGAUGCUAAUCUCUAAAGCCUGUCUUAGUUCGGAUUGAAGUCUGCAAUUCGACUUCAUGAAGUAGGAUUCGCUAGUAAUCGCACAUCAGCCAUGGUGCGGUGAAUACGUUCCCGGGCCUUGUACACACUGCCCGUCAAGCCAUGGAAGUCGGUAGUACCUGAAGUCUGUAACCGCAAGGAGCGGCACUAGGGUAAAACUG